rnacentral:lncRNA from 1 species
CUAAAAAUAACAGCCUGCAUUAUAGAGUUCAGAAAAUUAAAGAAACAUAAUACAUCUAUCUCUCAAAUAAUCUGAUUAAUGAAGUGCAAACUUCAUAGCACUAACAAGCAUAACAAUGUCGGUGCCUAGAACGAUGACGGUAGAUGGGGCUUCCGUGUUCUGGAGGAGAGUGCCAUGUUUAGUUCCUGCGUGAAGUACGUCACCUUGAGGCUUCUCGGAGAGGUGCAAAAGGAGGAGCAUGAUGGGCUAGCAAAAGGACGAGCCUGGAUCUUAUCCCAUGGCACUGCAACUGCAGCGUCACAGUGGGCAAAGAUAUUACUCUCGGUAUCGUUCUCUAAGAAUAGUAAAUAAUCGUUGUUAUAUGAUCAUUUAUCCAAUUCUGAAAUGAUUAAAACGCUAGUUGCCGAACAUUUAAUUUCCCUCAUUACCAUAUGACUAGAAGUGUUUGGUCACACACACCGUGGUGAGACGUGAACCUUUUUUCUUCUCCGCUGAACAUUUUUUUCUCUGAUGAAACAAUGUUAUGAUUGAAAAUAAAAAUUAUUUUGCAGAGAAGAAAACAAUGUUCCAUCAAGAAAACAAAUGUGGGUCCUCAUCAUGAGGUGUGACAAAACCAAUUCUAGUCACUCACGCACGCACACGUGCAACAUAUAAUAUCCCCCGUGAACAUUUCCCAUACAAACUUUUUCAAUUUGUAUGUUCCCCUUAUUAUAAUACUUUUCAUAGUAUUGGUGAGGUGUUAUUUUACUUUGCUGGAAAUUUUCCUCAAAAUAAAUUUUCUUUUAGAUGAUACACAUACAUAUUUUGAAGUUUCACGUGGAACUGAGCCAAGCUUUCUAUUUUGUUAACUUAAGGUUAUUGGUGUAUACGAUUGGUCCGGAAAUAAUCCAAUAAUCCCUGAACUAUGGUUACUCCCACGUUUUCUCCCAAUACAUCCAGGUAACUUUUCACAAUUCCUUCCAAUGUCAAGUGAGCUUUUUAUAUGCAGAUAAACAUUUAAAAUUACAUAAUUGAUGGUACAAAACCUAUUUAGGUUCCAGCGAGCGACAUGUCCUGACAGGGCAGCUUGAUUAAGGAUUUCUAGAAUUAAUUCAGCUUGCACGAUAAAAAGGUCUAUAUCAAUUUGUAUCUUAGUAUGAUCUACAUUUUCUAAUGUUUCUACCCUUACCUGACAAAGUUUUGCACCGCAUUCCUUUUUUGACAUCUAAACAUGGCAAUUUUAGAAAAGAUAAAUGACAAAGAUAUGCAGUACACUAAACAAAUGACUUGUAAAUUUGUUGGAGAGAGUAAACUUAAUCGGCAACUUGUUGGACCCUAUCACAUGGCUCACUGUCUAAUUUAUAUUGGUACGCAUUCUCAUGCAUUAGAAUCUGAACCCCAAUAGUUGGAGUCCGUAACCUCAUGAUUCCACCAGCAUAGUAGUUGAGAGGUGGUUCCUAGGAUUAGGAAUCUUUAUAAAGGACGGAUGUAUACCCUAAACUAACCAUUGGUCUUACAUGGUGGCAUGAUGCUUUCUUCUAAUUAAGGGAACCUUAAGGCGUAGGUAUGAAAUUACUGGACCGUGAUAUGUGGGGCCUCCACAAUGUAAUGAUAUAAUAUGCAACAUGCAAAAAAAAUGAACUUCAGCAGUUAUUAAGAAGUUGAGCAAAUGAUGCUUUUAGAUGAAGUACUCAGUCUCUAUGCUAAAUAGGGUUGCAUAUAGCCAUUAAACUCACAAACAUCAAAAUAGGUGUGGACUCCAGAAUCUGAGACCUAGAAGGUGGAAUUGUGGAUUAAGGGAUAAAUGUUUUUAUUGUACGCAUAGACAAGGAAAAGCGAAUAGUCAUUCAAUUGUAGUUGCCGAUUUGAUAUGUACAGACUUAAGUGCUCAGUGUUUAGUACUAAUUAAAUAUAAGCUUAUGAAAAUGAAAUUAAAAUGGCCCUCAAAAUGCUAUAGUUUGGUAUUAAGUGAGAUUCCAUUUUCACAGGGCGAUUUUGGUGCUUCACAAGGAUUACUUACAUGUCAAUAGUUUUUCUAUACGCCAAGAGAUUUGUGGGUCCAAUUACGCCAACUAUAUUAAUACUAAGGAAGGAGCUCCACAGUUCGCCAUACGAAAAGGUUGAUUGGAGUAAGGCUCGUAAUACUUGUGCUUUGUAGUUACCUUCCUAUAUUCCAAAUGAUUAUUUUUACUCCAUUUACUAAAUGCACAGAAUUUACAAAAUAUCACAAAUUGUGUAUUAUCACAAGAUAUGAUCUUCUUUACACAUUUUCAUAUACAUUAUCAAAACUUUAUUCCCUCCAUUCUCUUAUGUUAAGAGAUAGUACUAUUUCCUCAUAGCACAAGGAUCAAGGAAAACAAUCCUACCUAUCAUCCUACUUAUAAUCCAUUUAAUCAUGUCACUAACUAAGCCUAAGUAGUUCAUUAAAGGCUAGAUUUAUUGAUACUUAUGUAGAGCCAUCUUGGUUGGAAGAAUGAAGAGUCACGCAUCAAACACGAGACAACCAUUAAGUGGAUGGAUAGUUGAACUAAAAUAAAACUAUCAAUAAAGAAUUUUUCAGAUUUGGAAAUAUGAUUAUCAAAAGGAACGGACGGACUAUAUAAAAUCCUCAGAAGGUUUGCUCCGUUCACUUCGAACUCACUCGACUCUGUUUCAGUGAUUUUUAUUUGACCCAUUACUGUAGCAGAGUAAAAAACAGUAGUUUAAUUACCUGAUUCUGGAGUAGCCUGGUUUCUCAAUACUCCUACAAGGAAGUUUUUCUCGACGAGGUGCAGGCUAAGAUGGCUCUUGGGAGUCUAUUUAUAGAAAGCCAGAACCACACUGCUCAAAAAUGUCCUAUAUUUUCACAAAAAAAAAUAGUAGGGUUUUUUUCUGCAUCCUUACAGUGUCAUCUUCAACCGCGUGGCUAGCUCUUAUUUGCUAAUUUAUUGCCAACUCAUCUAAUAGGAUAAUUGGUGACAUGUAGCAGCUAAGAGCUAACUGACAUG